rnacentral:rRNA from 1 species
CUUAACACAUGCAAGUCGAGGGGCAGCAUGGUCUUAGCUUGCUAAGGCCGAUGGCGACCGGCGCACGGGUGAGUAACACGUAUCCAACCUGCCGUCUACUCUUGGACAGCCUUCUGAAAGGAAGAUUAAUACAAGAUGGCAUCAUGAGUCCGCAUGUUCACAUGAUUAAAGGUAUUCCGGUAGACGAUGGGGAUGCGUUCCAUUAGAUAGUAGGCGGGGUAACGGCCCACCUAGUCUUCGAUGGAUAGGGGUUCUGAGAGGAAGGUCCCCCACAUUGGAACUGAGACACGGUCCAAACUCCUACGGGAGGCAGCAGUGAGGAAUAUUGGUCAAUGGGCGAGAGCCUGAACCAGCCAAGUAGCGUGAAGGAUGACUGCCCUAUGGGUUGUAAACUUCUUUUAUAAAGGAAUAAAGUCGGGUAUGCAUACCCGUUUGCAUGUACUUUAUGAAUAAGGAUCGGCUAACUCCGUGCCAGCAGCCGCGGUAAUACGGAGGAUCCGAGCGUUAUCCGGAUUUAUUGGGUUUAAAGGGAGCGUAGAUGGAUGUUUAAGUCAGUUGUGAAAGUUUGCGGCUCAACCGUAAAAUUGCAGUUGAUACUGGAUAUCUUGAGUGCAGUUGAGGCAGGCGGAAUUCGUGGUGUAGCGGUGAAAUGCUUAGAUAUCACGAAGAACUCCGAUUGCGAAGGCAGCCUGCUAAGCUGCAACUGACAUUGAGGCUCGAAAGUGUGGGUAUCAAACAGGAUUAGAUACCCUGGUAGUCCACACGGUAAACGAUGAAUACUCGCUGUUUGCGAUAUACAGCAAGCGGCCAAGCGAAAGCGUUAAGUAUUCCACCUGGGGAGUACGCCGGCAACGGUGAAACUCAAAGGAAUUGACGGGGGCCCGCACAAGCGGAGGAACAUGUGGUUUAAUUCGAUGAUACGCGAGGAACCUUACCCGGGCUUAAAUUGCAGAUGAAUUACGGUGAAAGCCGUAAGCCGCAAGGCAUCUGUGAAGGUGUUGCAUGGUUGUCGUCAGCUCGUGCCGUGAGGUGUCGGCUUAAGUGCCAUAACGAGCGCAACCCUUGUUGUCAGUUACUAACAGGUUCCGCUGAGGACUCUGACAAGACUGCCAUCGUAAGAUGUGAGGAAGGUGGGGAUGACGUCAAAUCAGCACGGCCCUUACGUCCGGGGCUACACACGUGUUACAAUGGGGGGGUACAGAGGGCCGCUACCACGCGAGUGGAUGCCAAUCCCAAAAACCUCUCUCAGUUCGGACUGGAGUCUGCAACCCGACUCCACGAAGCUGGAUUCGCUAGUAAUCGCGCAUCAGCCACGGCGCGGUGAAUACGUUCCCGGGCCUUGUACACACCGCCCGUCAAGCCAUGGGAGCCGGGGGUACCUGAAGUGCGUAACCGAGAGGAGCGCCCUAGGGUAAAACUGGUGACUGGGGCUC